UACGUAGGGGGCAAGCGUUGUCCGGAAUCAUUGGGCGUAAAGCGCGCGUAGGCGGCCCGGUAAGUCCGCUGUAAAAGUCCAGGGCUCAACCCUGGAAAGCCGGUGGAUACUGUCGGGCUAGAGUCCGGAAGAGGCGAGUGGAAUUCCUGGUGUAGCGGUGGAAUGCGCAGAUAUCAGGAGGAACACCGGUGGCGAAGGCGCCCACUCUGGGCCGAUACUGACGCUGAGGAGCGAAAGCGUGGGGAGCGAACAGG
rnacentral:rRNA from 1 species